UCUCCUCGGGUUUGGCCACUGCUCUUGUUCCUUAAUUGGUAGGCGGCCCAAAGAUUCGAUUUUUCCGCUCCUUGUGCGGUUCUGUGGAUUAGUGCCUUGCUUCAUGGUCCCUCGAUUGCUAAUUGAACGACGGCCGGCGGCUAGCUGAUGUGGUGGCCGGUCUCUGGCUCGCGAGCGUCGUGGUGCUCGAAAACUCAAAUCCCUCGAGUGGUGCAAACUCCGCAUCAUGGACGACAGGUCGAGUGCCCGCGGCAGCCAGCCGUCAUACAACCCAUGCGGAAGAAGACGGUUGUGUUUCCGUGGUUGGUGAAGGGGCUGGUGUCAUCGUGCCUGUCAGCGUAGUUGUUGUUCUGAGAAUUUCCAUGAUAAGCAAGCAGUGAAUCUGUCUUGGCUGCAGAUAAAAACUGUUGCAGCGGUAUAUGGAUUCAGAAGUGACGAGUGCCCAUGAUUAUGUUGCCGUACAUGCCUUUGGAAAACCAUGGCCAGUGUUGUUUCCACCGGACCGGGUCCUCUCUCCGCUGUUCUGAUCUAAUGUCGACUGCGUGCCGUUGGCUUCCCAUGCACAAGGUCCUACCGGCGGCAUUGGGCACCACGUGGGAAGCGGAAGGAGGAGCCGCAACUCUCCAUGCAAGCUCGGGUCAAUGUCAUCGCAAGUUCCGUGCUCGACGUUGCUGUUCAAUGUCGCCUCAGCUGAUUUCGCCCGCCGUCCGCCCGAUGCUCCACACUUUGCCGUAACUCAAUCUGCCAGUUCUCCGCUUGAGGUACGUACUGAAGCUAACCUGGCAAGAGGCAGGCAUGGGAGGCAUGAUUGUUGCUGAAGCGGAACUCAUGAAUGUCUCACGUCAUGUGGUUCUGUGCUAUUCUUAAUCUUCUUCUCUGAAGUGUGUAGUUUCAGUUCCACAUCAAAUGUGUUGCGCUUGCAGUGCGUACCAAUGUACAGUUUACCGAUGUGUAUAUAUGCGGAGUCGAUGGAAAACAUUGAAGCCAGUAGUUGUAUACCUAUUUCAAAAAUCAGCAAGUGGUUAGUAACAUUCUACAUCAAGGUUAUCAUAUGACAGAACGUCUGGGGUGAAAGCUAAGCUACUUCCAAUGGUAAGAAUUGAAAUCUGGAUGAAACCUCCAUUAUUUGUUUUAUAUAUUUUUAGAUACAUGAGAGAACUAAUGAUAUUUUUAGACUGUAGAACAACCCUUUCAAGGAUUCUCUCUCUAUGAGCAUAUAUAUUGCCUCAGCUUAUAUCCAUUGCCGCACGCAUGGGCGUGUCAGUAGCAUUACUUUGAUAACAUGUCUAUAUCACUGUAAUGUUGGACAUAAGUUCUGCUACAUCCAAACAAGCUUAUCUGAUUUCCAAGAAGAGUAAAAAAAUUCUUUAGUGAUUUCCUGGAUUUUGCUUAUAUCACUGUAAUGUUGGACAAUAAGUUCUUAAUACAUUUGGAGCAUCUACUCUCUGGUAAGGAGUCAUGGGGAAGACUAUAUUUUUAGUUGACAUUGUAAAUGAUUUUAAUGGCCACGAUUUUUUUUCUUGUUUCUUUUCAGGUCCCAAAUGAGAAGGCAAGAAGGUAUCAGCUGUAUGAGAAGACCCCCGCCCAUGCCCAUUCCAUUCUCUAUGAAGUCAAAAGUUUCCCACUGAAUAUAUUUGGUACUAAAACGGUCGUUAUGUCAGCACCACGAUCGUGUGCCAAUUGUUGGCUCUUAAUUCUUUAGGAUUAUUUGAUUUGUUUGAUUCAUUCUGUUCAUAUUUAUGCAGCAACAAAAUACAUUCAAGAUCAGGGUGUGUGAGGGUUAAACAUGUUAAUUUAUGUGGCAUCAAGCUAUGUAUGUUGAUAGCAUGAUCUCCUUUUCUUUUGCUUUGCAGAAUUAUUCUCGACACUGGAGAUAUAUGCUAAUCCUCUAGCUUUGCUAAUUUUAUCUUUUGAUUUCAUUUCAGUGGUGGAGUAUUGCACCUCAUUCACAGUUGUAGAUGUGUGUCAAGAUAUCAAAUCAUCUGUCUUUUAGGUCAACGGCAUGCCCAUGGUGGUUCACCCCUAGAUUUAAAUGACUCUAAAGUCCAUGGUCCACCUAAUAAAGAUAGAAAUAAUUAUGUUGGUAAGGUGGGUUAAACCCAACUUAAGCUCACACUGUUUUUAUGUUCUCUUACACCUGCAGGUAUUAUUAAACAAUAUCCUAACUGAAUAUCAAACACAUUGCUGGCUACAUGAUAUGUAAAGUAAAAUGUAUGUUGCUACUAAAAUUUAUAUCCGAAUGAUGGUGGCCAUUAUCUAUUUUUAAGCAAACAUAUCUCCCAAGUUUGACAAAGGUUUCCUUCA